rnacentral:rRNA from 1 species
CAAAGGGAUUACCGGUGGCGGAUGGGCAUGCGGCGCAUUAGCUAGUCGGCGGGGUAACGGCCCACCGAGGCGACGAUGCGUAGGGGUUCUGAGAGGAAGGUCCCCCACACUGGUACUGAGACACGGACCAGACUCCUACGGGAGGCAGCAGUGAGGAAUAUUGGUCAAUGGGCGCGAGCCUGAACCAGCCAAGUCGCGUGAGGGAUGACGGUCCUACGGAUUGUAAACCUCUUUUGCCGGGGAGCAAGCGUGCGUUCGUGAACGCGCGUCGAGAGUACCCGGAGAAAAAGCAUCGGCUAACUCCGUGCCAGCAGCCGCGGUAAUACGGAGGAUGCGAGCGUUAUCCGGAUUUAUUGGGUUUAAAGGGUGCGUAGGCGGGAUGCCAAGUCAGCGGUAAAAAUGCGGUGCUCAACGCCGUCGAGCCGUUGAAACUGGCGUUCUUGAGUGGGCGAGAAGUAUGCGGAAUGCGUGGUGUAGCGGUGAGAUGCAUAGAUAUCACGCAGAACUCCGAUUGCGAAGGCAGCAUACCGGCGCCCUACUGACGCUGAGGCACGAAAGCGUGGGUAUCGAACAGGAUUAGAUACCCUGGUAGUCCACGCAGUAAACGAUGAAUGCUAACUGUCCGGCUCGAAUGAGCGCUGG